rnacentral:lncRNA from 1 species
AAGCAAGAAGCACAGAAGAAGCUCCUAGCCAACACCAAUCAAAGCUUCCAUCCAAUCCCAAGCAACCUCGACGAUGUCUUGCUGCGGAGGAAACUGCGGCUGCGGCAGCGCCUGCAAGUGCGGCAACGGCUGCGGCGGCUGCAACAUGUACCCGGAGGCCGAGGCCGCCGGCGCCACCCUCCUCGUCUCCGCCACCGCCACCCACAAGGCGUACGUCCCUUCUCUUCUCCUUCGAUGACAGUUAUAUUAUGAGUUUCUGAGUUUUGAUGUACCGAAGGAGGUCGGAGUCCCGGAUGAGAUCGAGGACAUGACGAUAAGUCUCGAAAUGGCCGAGCCGUAAAGAUUGAUAUAUUGGACGACUAUAUUCGGAGUUUGGAAAGGUUCCGAGUGAUUCGGGUAUUUUUGGAGUACCGAAGAGUUACGGGAAUUCGCCGGGGAGUAUAUGGGCCUUAUUGGGCCAUACGGGAAUGGAGGAGAGAGGCCAAAGGAAGGAGGCAUGCGCCCCCCCUCUGGUCCAAAUUGGACAAGGGGCGCAGCCCCCCUUUCCUUCUUCCUCUCCCCCUCUUUCCCCUUCUCCUACUCCAACAAGGGAGGUGGAAUCCUACUAGGACUACGGAGUCCUAGUAGGACUCCACACUUGGCGCGCCCCCUCCUAGGGCCGGCCUCCUCCCCCCUUGCUCCUUUAUAUACGGGGGGAGGGGGGCACCCCAUGACACACAAGUUGAUCUACGUGAUCGUUCCUUAGCCGUGUGUGUUGCCCCCCUCCACCAUAUUCCACCUCGGUCAUAUCGUCGCGGAGUUUAGGCGAAGCCCUGCGCCGGUAGAACAUCAUCAUCGUCACCACGCCGUCGUGCUGACGGAACUCAUCCCCGACACUUUGCUGGAUCGGAGUCCAGGGAUCGUCAUCGAGCUGAACUUGUGCUGAACACGGAGGUGCCGUACGUUCGGUACUUGGAUCGGUCGGAUCGUGAAGACGUACGACUACAUCAACCGCGUUGUCAUAACGCUUCCGCUUACAGUCUACAAGGGUACGUGGAAAUUACUCUCCCCUCUCGUUGCUAUGCAUCACCAUGAUCUUGCGUGUGCGUAGGAAUUUUUUUGAAAUUACUACGUUUCCCAACAGUGGCAUCCGAGCCUAGGUUUUAUGCGUUGAUAUUAUAUGCACGAGUAGAACACAAGUGAGUUGUGGGCGAUACAAGUCAUACUACUAACCAGCAUGUCAUACUUUGGUUCAGCGGUAUUGUUGGAUGAAGCGGCCCGGACCGACAUUACGCGUACGCUUACGCGAGACUGGUUUUACCGCCGUGCUUUGCACACAGGUGACUAGCGGGUGUCUGUUUCUCCAACUUUAGUUGAACCGAGUGUGGCUACGCCCGGUCCUUGAGAAGGUUAAAACAGCAUUAACUUGACGAACUAUCGUUGUGGUUUUGAUGCGUAGGUAAGAACGGUUCUUUCUCAGCCCAUAGCAGCCACGUAAAACUUGCAACAACAAAGUAGAGGACGUCUAACUUGUUUCUGCAGGGCAUGUUGUGAUGUGAUAUGGUCAAGACGUGAUGAGAUAUAAGUUGUUGUAUGAGAUGAUCAUGUUUUGUUGAAGUUAUCAGCAACUGGCAGAAGCCCUAUGGUUGUCUCUUUGUUGCAUAAGAUGCAAGUGCCAAAUAAUUGCUUUACUUUAUAGCUAUACGAUAGCAAUAGUUGCAAGAGCAAUAGUUGGCGAGACGACCAUGUGACGACACAUUCAUAUAGAUCAAGAUGAUGAAGAUCAUGGUGUCGUGCUGGUAACGAUAGAGAUCAUGAAAGUACUUUGGAGAUGGAGAUCACAAGCACAAGAUGAUGAUGGCCAUAUCAUAUCACUUAUAUUGAUUGCAUGUGAUGUUUAUCUUUUAUACAUCUUAUUUUGCUUAGUUUGACGGUAGCAUUUUAAGAUGAUUUCUCAGUAAAUUAUCAAGAAGUGUUCUCCCUGAGUAUGCACCGUUGCGAAAGUUCUUCGUGCUGAGACACCACGUGAUGAUCGGGUGUGAUAGGCUCUACGUUCAAAUACAGCGGGUGCAAAACAGUUGCACACGCGGAAUACUCAGGUUAAACUUGACGUGCCUAGCAUAUAACAGAUAUGGCCUCGGAACACGGAGACCGAAAGGUCGAGCGUGAAUCAUAUAGUAUAUAUGAUCAACAUAUUGAUGUUCACUGUUGAAACUACUCCAUCUCACGCGACGAUAGGACAUGGUGUAGUUGAUAUGGAUCACGUAAUCACUUAGAGGAUUAGAGGGAUGUCUAUCUAAGUGGGAGUUCUUAAGUAAUAUGAUUAAUUGAACUUUAAAUUUAUCAUGAACUUAGUCCCGGUAGUAUUUUGCAAAUUAUGUUGUAGAUCAAUAGCUCGCGUUUUUGCUUUCCUAUGUUUUUAUAUGUGUUCCUAGAGAAAAACUAAGUUGAAAAGAUGUUAGUAGCAAUGAUGCGGACUUGGUCCGUGAUAUAAGGUUUAUCCUCAUUGCUGCACAGAAGAAUUAUGUCCUUGAUGCACCCGCUAGGUGACAGACCUAUUGCAGGAGCAGAUGUAGACAUUAUGAACGUUUGGCUAGCUCAAUAUGAUGACUACUUGAUAGUUUUAUGCACCAUGCUUUAUGGCUUAGAACCGGGACAACAAAAACGUUUUUGAAACGUCAUGGAACAUAUAAGAUGUUUCAAGAGAUGAAAUUGGUAUUUCAGACUCAUGCCCGUGUCAAGAGGUAUGAGAUCUCUGAGAAAUACUUCGCCUAAAAGAUGGAGGAGAAUUGCUCAACUAGUGAGCAAGUACUUAGACUGUCUGAGUACUACAAUCACUUGAAUCGAGUGGGAGUUAAUCUUCCAGAUAAGAUAGUGAUUGGCAGAGUUCUCUAGUCACCAUCACCAAGUUACUGGAACUUCAUGAUGAACUAUAAUGCAAGGGAUGACGAAAACGAUUCCCGAGCUCUUCGUGAUGCUGAAAUCGACGAAGGUAGAAAUCAAGAAAAGAGCAUCAAGUGUUGAUGAUUGACAAGACCACUAAUUUCAAGAAAAGGGCAAAGGGAAAGAAAGGGAACUUCAACUAGAAUGACAAGCAAGUUGUCACUCCCGCGAAGAAGCCCAAAGCUGGACCAAAGCCUGAAACUGAGUGAUUGUACUGCAAAGGAAAUGGUCACUAGAAGCAGAAAUGCCCUGAAUAUUUGGUGGAUAAGAAGGAUGGCAAAGUGAACAAGGGUAUAUUUGAUAUACAUGUUAUUGAUGUGUACUUUACUAGUGUUUAUAGUAGCCCCUGAGUAUUUGAUACUUGUUCAGUUGCUAAAAUUAGUAACUCGAAAUAGGAGUUACAGAAUAAACAGAGACUAGUUGAGGGUGAAGUGACGAUGUGUGUUGGAAGUAGUUCCAAGAUUGAUAUGAUCAUCAUCACACUCUCCCUACACUUUCGAGAUUAGUGUUGAACCUAAAUAAAUGUUAUUUGGCGUUUGCGUUGAGCAUGAAUAUGAUUUGAUCAUGUGUAAUGCAAUACGGUUAUUCAUUUGAAGUCAGAGAAUAAUUGUUAUUCUGUUUACAUGAAUAAAGCCUUCGAUGGUCAUACACCCAAUGAAAAUAGUUUGUUGGAUCUCGAUCGUAGUGAUACACAUAUUUCAUAAUAUUGAUGCCAAAAGAUGCAAAGUUGAUAAUGAUAGUGCAACUUAUUUGGGGCACUGCCAUUUGGGUCAUAUCGGUGUAAAGCGCAUGAAGAAACUCCAUACUGAUGGGUUUUUGGAAUCGCUUGAUUAUGAAUCAUUUGAUGCCUGCGAACCGUGCCUUAUGGGCAAGAUGAAUAAAACUCCGUUCUUCAGAACAAUGGAACGAGCUACUGACUUGUUGGAAAUAAUACAUAUCGAUGUAUGCGAUCCAAUGAGUAUUAAUGCUCAUGGCGAGUAUCGUUAUUUUCUGACCUUCACAAGAUGAUUUGAGCAGAUAUGAGUAUAUCUACUUAAUGAAGCACAAGUCUGAAACAUUUGAAAAGUUCAAAGAAUUUCAGAGUGAAGUGAAGAAUCAUCGUAACAAGAAAAUAAAGUUUCUGUGAUUUGAUCACGGAGACAAAUAUCCGAGUUACGAGUUUGGCCUUCAUAUAAAACAAUGUGGAAUAGUUUCACAGCUCAUGCCACCUGGAACACCAUAGCAUUAUGGUGUGUCCAAACGUCGUAACCGCACUUUAUUGGAUAUGGUGCGAUCUAUGAUGUCUCUUAUCGGUUUACCACUAUCGUUUUGGGGUUAUGCAUUAGAGACAGCUGCAUUCACGUUAAAUAGGGUACCAUCUAAAUCCGUUGAAACGACACCGUAUGAACUAUGGUUUGGCAAGAAACCAAAGUUGUCGUUUCUUAAAGUUUGGGGCUGCGAUGCUUAUGUGAAAAAGUUUCAACCUGAUAAGCUCGAACCCAAAUCGGAGAAGUGCGUCUUCAUAGAAUACCCAAAGGUAAAUAUUGGGUACACCUUCUAUCACAGAUCUGAAAGCAAGUUUUGUUGCUAAGAUGGAUCCUUUCUAGAGAAGAAGUUUCUCUCGAAAGAAGUGAGUGGGAGGAAAGUAGAACUUGAUGAGGUAAUUGUACCUUCUCCCUUGUUGGAAAGUAGUUCAUCACAGAAAUCAGUUCAAGUGAUUCCUACACCAAUUAGUGAGGAAGUUAAUGAUGAUGAUCAUGAAACUUCAGAUCAAGUUGCUACCAAACCUCAUAGGUCUUCCAGAGUAAGAUCCGCACCAGAGUGGUACAGUAAUCAUGUUCUGGAAGUCAUGUUACUAGACCAUGAUGAACCUAUGAACUAUGAGGAAGAGAUGAUGAGCCCAAAUUCCACGAAAUGGCUUGAGGCCAUGAAAUCUGAGAUAGGAUCCAUGUAUGAGAACAAAGUAUGGACUUUGAUUGACUUGCUCGAUAAUCAGCAAGCCAUGUUAAAUAAAUGGAUCUUCAAGAGGAAGAUGGACACUGAUAGUAGUGUUACUAUCUACAAAGCUCGACUUGUCACAAAAAGGUUUUCGACAAGUUCAAGGUGUUGACUACAAUGAGAUUUUCUCAACUGUAGCAAUGCUUAAGUCUGUCCAAAUCAUGUUAGCAAUUGCCACAUUUUAUGAAAUCUAGCAAAUGGAUGUCAAAACUGCAUUCCUUAAUGGACUUAUUAAAGAAGAGUUGUAUAUGAUGCAACCAGAAGGUUUUGUCAAUCCUAAAGAUGCUAACAAAGUGUGCAAGCUCUAGCAAUCCAUCAAUGGACUGGUGCAAGCAUCUCAGAGUUGGAAUAUACGCUUUGAUGAGUUGAUCAAAGCAUAUGGUUUUAUGCAGACCUUUGGAAAGGCCUGUAUUUACAAGAAAGUGAGUGGGAGCACUAUAGCCUUUCUGAUAAGUAUAUGUGAAUGACAUAUUGUUGAUCGGAAAUAAUGUAGAAUUUUCUAGAAAGCAUAAAGGAGUGUUUGAAAGGAUUUUUUCAAAGAAAGACCUCAGUAAAGCUACUUACAUAUUGAGCAUCACGAUCUAUUGAGAUAGAUCAAGACGCUUGAUAAGAUUUUCAAUUAGUACAUACCUUGACAAGAUUUUGAAGUAGUUCAAAAUGGAACAGUCAAAGAAAGAGUUCUUGCCUAUGUUGCAAAGGUGUGAAAUUGAGUAAGACUCAAAUCCCGACCACGGCAGAAAAUAGAAAAGAGAAUGAAAGUCAUUCCCUAUGCCUCAGUCAUAGGUUCUAUAAAGUAUGCUAUGCUGUGAACCAGACCUAUUGUAUAUCUUGCUUUGUGUUUGGCAUAGGAAUACAAUUUUGAUCUAAUAGUAGAUCACUGGACAGCGGUCAAGAAUAUCCUUAGUGAGGACUAAGGAAAUACUUCUCGAUUAUGGAGGUGAUAAAAGAGCCCGUCAUAAAAAGUUACAUCGGUGCAAGCUUUUACACCGAUCCAGAUGACUCUAAGUCUCAAUCUGGAUACAUAUUGAAAGUGGGAGCAAUUAGCUAGAUUAGAUCCAUGCAGAGCAUUGUAGACAUAGAAUAUUUGCAAAAUACAUACGGCUCUGUAUGUGACAGACCCGUUGACUAAACUUCUCUCACGAGCAAAACAUGAUCAUACCUUAGUACUCUUUGGGUGUUAAUCACAUAGCGAUGUGAACUAGAUUAUUGACUCUAGUAAACCCUUUGGGUGUUGGUCACAUGACGAUGUGAACUACGGGUGUUAAUCAUAUACAGAUAUGAAUAUUGAUGUUAAAUCACAUGGCGAUGUGAACUAGAUUAUUGACUCUAGUGCAAGUGGGAGACUGAAGGAAAUAUGCCCUAGAGGCAAUAAUAAAGUUAUUAUUUAUUUCCUUAUAUCAUGAUAAAUGUUUAUUAUUCAUGCUAGAAUCGUAUUAACCGGAAACAUAAUACAUGUGUGAAUACAUAGACAAACAUAGUGUCACUAGUAUGCCUCUACUUGACUAGCUCGUGAAUCAAAGAUGGUUAAGUUUCCUAGCCAUGGACAAAAGAGUUGUCAUUUGAUUAACGGGAUCACAUCAUUAGGAGAAUGAUGUGAUUGACUUGACUCAUUCCGUUAGCCUAGCACUUGAUCGUUUAGUAUAUUGCUAUUGCUUUCUUCAUGACUUAUACAUGUUCAUGUAACUAUGAGAUUAUGCAACUCCCGUUUACCGGAGGAACACUUUGGGUGCUACCAAACGUCACAAUGUAACUGGGUGAUUAUAAAGGAUUACUACAGGUGUCUCCGAAGGUACGUGUUGGGUUGGCGUAUUUCGAGAUUAGGUUUUGUCACUCUGAUUGUCGGAGAGGUAUCUCUGGGCCCUCUCGGUAAUGCACAUCACUAUAAGCCUUGCAAGCAAUGUGACUAAUGAGUUAGUUGCGAGAUGAUGUAUUACGUAACGAGUAAAGAGACUUGCCGGUAACGAGAUUGAACUAGGUAUUAGAUACCGACAAUCGAAUCUCGGGAAAGUAACAUGCCGAUGACAAAGGGAACAACAUAUGUUGUUAUGCGGUUUGACCGAUAAAGAUCUUCGUAGAAUAUGUAGGAGCCAACAUGGGCAUCCAGGUUCCGCUAUUGGUCAUUGACCAAGAAUAGUUCUAGGUCAUGUCUACAUAGUUCUCGAACCCGAAGGGUCCGCACGCUUAAGGUUUCGAUGACAGUUAUAUUAUGAGUUUAUGAGUUUUGAUGUACCGAAGGAGUUCGGAGUCCCGGAUGAGAUCGGGGACAUGACGAGAAGUCUCAAAAUGGUCGAGACGUAAAGAUCGAUAUAUUGGACGACUAUAUUCGGAGUUCGGAAAGGUUCCGAGUGAUUCGGGUAUUUUUCGGAGUACCGGAGAGUUACGGGAAUUCGCCGGGGAGUAUAUGGGCCUUAUUAGGCCAUACAGGAAUAGAGGAGAGAGGCCAAAAGGAAGGAGGCCUGCACCCCCCCUCUGGUCUGAAUUGUACAAGGGGCGUAGCCACCCUUUCCUUCUUCCUCUCCCCCUCUUUUCCCUUCUCCUACUCCAACAAGGGAGGUGGAAUCCUACUAGGACUAGGGAGUCCUAGUAGGACUCCACACUUGGCGCGCCCCCUCCUAGGGCCGGCCUCCUCCCCCCUUGCUCCUUUAUAUACGGGGGCAGGGGGGCACCCCAUGACACACAAGUUGAUCUACGUGAUCGUUCCUUAGCCUGUGUGGUGCCCCCCUCCACCAUAUUCCACCUCGGUCAUAUCGUCGCGGAGUUUAGGCGAAGCCCUGCGCCGGUAGAACAUCAUCAUCGUCACCGCCGUCGUGCUGACGGAACUCAUCCCCGACACUUUGCUGGAUCGGAGUCCGGGGAUCGUCAUCGAGCUGAACGUGUGCUGAACUCGGAGGUGCCGUACGUUCGGUACUUGGAUCGGUCGGAUCGUGAAGACGUACGACUACAUCAACCGCAUUGUCAUAACGCUUCCGCUUACGGUCUACAAGGGUACAUGGACAUUACUCUCCUCUCUCGUUGCUAUGCAUCACCAUGAUCUUGCGUGUGCGUAGGAAUUUUUUUGAAAUUACUACGUUUCCCAACAGAGGAUGGGUUUUGAAGACCAUGAAAUUAUGGAAACCAAAAAAAUUAUCCUAAGUACCCAUCAUGGUGUGGAUUUCCAAGUAAAGCUGUACAAUGCUGAGAGUGUAAUCCAUUUUGGUUGCAAAAAUUGGAAAGCACUUUGCAAGAUGUAUGGUUUUGAUGAGGGUAUGCUUGUCACCAUGGAUCUUGGUGAUCCUACAAUCGAGCAAGAGAGACCUUCGAUUUGGGUCCUUGUGGAUACACCUCCAAUUCUUCCCCCAUGUGAGCUUAACAUAGUUAUUAAGUAAUUUAUAUUGUUUAUUUCAGAAUAGUUGACAUCUUAUUUCCAUUAACAGAUUAUUUUCAUUCUUCAAAGAAUGUGUGGAA